GCGUGGCCUGGGUGGAUGGGCGUUAUCCAUGGUUACGAGAUAGAGUUUGUGUUCGGAAUGCCACUGGAGAGAGACUCAACUACACAGCCGAGGAGGAGAAACUGAGUCGACGCCAUGAUGAGAUACUGGGCUAACUUCGCACGCACCGGUAACCCCAACAUCAAUUUUGACGGCAGUGGUGGAUAGGCAGGCAGAGGUGGCCGCAGUUCACCAACAGUGAGCAAAAAACACGUGGGGCUGAACACAGAAUCUCUGAAGAUCCAACAAGGGCCUGCGGAACCAGCUGUGUGCAUUCUGGAACCGCUUUCUGCCACGCCUCCUCAAUAUCACCGAUAACAUAGACGAGGCAGAGCGUCAGUGGAAGGUGGAGUUCCAUCGUUGGUCCUCCUACAUGAUGCAUUGGAAGAGCCAGUUCGACCAUUACAGCAAGCAGGAGCGCUGCACUGACCUCUGAGGAGAGGGGAGAGAGAGAGAGAUGCCGACCAUGUCCUUCCAUAUUAUUCUACAUGUCUUCAUGUGAUAUGUUGAGGCUUGGUAUGUUGAGGCUUGAUAUGU